rnacentral:pre_miRNA from 1 species
CACAUACUCCCUCCGUUCGGAAUUACUUGUCUCGAAAAUGGAUGUAUCUAGAACUAAAAUACAUCUAGAUACAUCCAUUUCUACGACAAGUAAUUCCGAAUGGAGGGAGUAGUAG